rnacentral:rRNA from 1 species
GAUGAACGCUGGCGGCGUGCCUAAUACAUGCAAGUCGAGCGAACAGAUAAGGAGCUUGCUCCUUUGAAGUUAGCGGCGGACGGGUGAGUAACACGUGGGUAACCUACCUAUAAGACUGGGAUAACUUCGGGAAACCGGAGCUAAUACCGGAUAACAUUUAGAACCGCACGGUCCUAAAGUGAAAGAUGGUUUUGCUAUCACUUAUAGAUGGACCCGCGCCGUAUUAGCUAGUUGGUAAGGUAACGGCUUACCAAGGCGACGAUACGUAGCCGACCUGAGAGGGUGAUCGGCCACACUGGAACUGAGACACGGUCCAGACUCCUACGGGAGGCAGCAGUAGGGAAUCUUCCGCAAUGGGCGAAAGCCUGACGGAGCAACGCCGCGUGAGUGAUGAAGGGUUUCGGCUCGUAAAACUCUGUUAUUAGGGAAGAACAAAUGUGUAAGUAACUGUGCACAUCUUGACGGUACCUAAUCAGAAAGCCACGGCUAACUACGUGCCAGCAGCCGCGGUAAUACGUAGGUGGCAAGCGUUAUCCGGAAUUAUUGGGCGUAAAGCGCGCGUAGGCGGUUUCUUAAGUCUGAUGUGAAAGCCCACGGCUCAACCGUGGAGGGUCAUUGGAAACUGGGAAACUUGAGUGCAGAAGAGGAAAGUGGAAUUCCAUGUGUAGCGGUGAAAUGCGCAGAGAUAUGGAGGAACACCAGUGGCGAAGGCGACUUUCUGGUCUGUAACUGACGCUGAUGUGCGAAAGCGUGGGGAUCAAACAGGAUUAGAUACCCUGGUAGUCCACGCCAUAAACGAUGAGUGCUAAGUGUUAGGGGGUUUCCGCCCCUUAGUGCUGCAGCUAACGCAUUAAGCACUCCGCCUGGGGAGUACGACCGCAAGGUUGAAACUCAAAGGAAUUGACGGGGACCCGCACAGGCGGUGGAGCAUGUGGUUUAAUUCGAAGCAACGCGAAGAACCUUACCAAAUCUUGACAUCCUUUGAAAACUCUAGAGAUAGAGCCUUCCCCUUCGGGGGACAAAGUGACAGGUGGUGCAUGGUUGUCGUCAGCUCGUGUCGUGAGAUGUUGGGUUAAGUCCCGCAACGAGCGCAACCCUUAAGCUUAGUUGCCAUCAUUAAGUUGGGUACUCUAGGUUGACUGCCGGUGACAAACCGGAGGAAGGUGGGGAUGACGUCAAAUCAUCAUGCCCCUUAUGAUUUGGGCUACACACGUGCUACAAUGGACAAUACAAAGGGCAGCUAAACCGCGAGGUCAUGCAAAUCCCAUAAAGUUGUUCUCAGUUCGGAUUGUAGUCUGCAACUCGACUACAUGAAGCUGGAAUCGCUAGUAAUCGUAGAUCAGCAUGCUACGGUGAAUACGUUCCCGGGUCU